CCUUCCCCGGGGGGGUGUUCCCGGGAGCCGCCUCGGCCGCGGCGCUCAAGGCUGCUGCAAAAGCUGGUGCUGGGAUUCCUGGUGCUUUUCCAGGCGGUGUACUCCCCGGAGCAGGUGUUCGCUUCCCUGGAGUGGGAGUGCUGCCUGGAGUCCCCACUGGAGCUGGAGUCAAGCCUAAAGCCCCAGGUAGGUCCCCUCAGUCGCCUUGGAACACUGGGGGUUCUCACUGGGCUGCAGCUUGGUACCCCAGCCCAGCUUUUGGGGUCACAGCCCUACAGGGCACUU
rnacentral:lncRNA from 1 species